rnacentral:sRNA from 1 species
CACGCACCAUCUUUGGAGAGGUGGCAGAGUGGUCGAAUGUACCUGACUCGAAAUCAGGCGUACGUGUAAGCGUACCGUGGGUUCGAAUCCCACCCUCUCCGCCAAAAAAACAAAACGCCCCCGUGUGGGGCGUUUUGUUUUUCUAGUGGUGACGGCUGGGUGAGA